rnacentral:lncRNA from 1 species
AAAUACUCUUAACUUCAAUAGGAAACCAUAUUUAAUGAAUUGUUUACCUCUUUAUAGCUCCAGGGCGACCAGCAAUUGAUAUUACUAGUGAACAAUUGAGGUUACUAUUUAAUCAAGGAUUUUCAGCCAAAAAAA